CCCGGUGGACCCGUGAACUUAAUGAUGCUUUGCCGAAAUUACUCGCCUGACUAAUGAACUUUUCCUCUUCCAUACUGAGAUUUAAUCCCUUAGGAAGGAGAGGGACGAUGGAGCCGCCCGGAUUAUAUCGAUCGAGAAAGAUAUCGAAAGUGCGAAGCUGAAAUUUACCGAACAUGCCAAGUCUGUUACCGAUCGGAACAAGCGUGCCCGUUUUAAGAACAUUGCUGAAGGUUUGGUUCACGAGCGGGACAUGGUGAACCUUCAAAGUCCCGAGUAUGAGUCAGUUGUUGUACCUGUGAAUCCUCAUAUGUGGGAGCAAUGGCAAGCGCACGGGAUCCCUGAGGAACAUCACCCUUGGUCGAAGACUCUUCAAGACCUUAGGGGUGAUGCAGAUGAUAAAUAGAUGGCAAAAAAAUUUUGUAACGUACUUUUUAUUUUGGGCUUUGUUCCCCUGCUUUGUUCUUUACUAUUUCCCGUUAUUUUUGCUUUUGUUUGCUGUAAGACUUGUCCGUUCGUUCUUGCUUGUGUUUCCUUUGCCCUGCGGCUUGCCAUCUGAUGCAUUGUUGCUUGUUUCCACGUCCUUUUUUCCCUACGGCCUUUUGUGUCGCGUAGUUUCUUUCAUUUCGGACGUCUGAUGGGUGCAUUGCCUUUGAUCGAUACGAUUGCUCUACGACAUUUGUUUGCGGGUGGCCUUACUUUUGAUUUAUCGACCUUAUUGCCCUAUGGCAUUUUUUGGCAGGUGGCCUCGCUUGAUCUUUUGACCUAAUUGUCCUAUGGCAUAUUUUAUUUUGACGGGUGGCCUCAUUUGGUCUGUCGACCUU
rnacentral:lncRNA from 1 species